rnacentral:misc_RNA from 1 species
GUCAGCUAACAAAAUAAGGGGGAGAAGUUAUUCCUAUGCGAACUUUUUUGGCCGUUUUUAUUAUCAUAACAACAUUAAUUUGGCAUCGUGGAUGAAAGUGAUUCGAAGACAGCUGGUUAUUUAAAAAGGUAAGCAGAAGUCAAGAACUUGUUGUGACUGCUCAUUUGUGCGGACAAAUUAGAUGUAAUUUGUACAGUUCACUCAUUGAGCGAAACAUGAAUAAUAGCCAAUGUGGUGUCAAAGCAAAGUGUAGAAUAUC